rnacentral:rRNA from 1 species
GUCGGGAUUAUUGGGGCGUAAAGGGCUCGCAGGCGGUUUCUUAAGUCUGAUGUGAAAGCCCCCGGCUCACCGGGGAGGGUCAUUGGAAACUGGGAAACUUGAGUGCAGAAGAGGAGAGUGGAAUUCCACGUGUAGCGGUGAAAUGCGUAGAGAUGUGGAGGAACACCAGUGGCGAAGGCGACUCUCUGGUCUGUAACUGACGCUGAGGAGCGAAAGCGUGGGGAGCGAACAGGAUUAGAUACCCUGGUAGUCCACGCCGUAAACGAUGAGUGCUAAGUGUUAGGGGGUUUCCGCCCCUUAGUGCUGCAGCUAACGCAUUAAGCACUCCGCCUGGGGAGUACGGUCGCAAGACUGAAACUCAAAGGAAUUGACGGGGGCCCGCACAAGCGGUGGAGCAUGUGGUUUAAUUCGAAGCAACGCGAAGAACCUUACCAGGUCUUGACAUCCUCUGACAACCCUAGAGAUAGGGCUUUCCCUUCGGGGACAGAGUGACAGGUGGUGCAUGGUUGUCGUCAGCUCGUGUCGUGAGAUGUUGGGUUAAGUCCCGCAACGAGCGCAACCCUUGAUCUUAGUUGCCAGCAUUUAGUUGGGCACUCUAAGGUGACUGCCGGUGACAAACCGGAGGAAGGUGGGGAUGACGUCAAAUCAUCAUGCCCCUUAUGACCUGGGCUACACACGUGCUACAAUGGACAGAACAAAGGGCUGCGAGACCGCAAGGUUUAGCCAAUCCCAUAAAUCUGUUCUCAGUUCGGAUCGCAGUCUGCAACUCGACUGCGUGAAGCUGGAAUCGCUAGUAUCGCGGAUCAGCAUGCCGCGGAUGAAUACGUUCCCGGGACCUUGUACACACCGCCCGUCACACCACGAGAGUUUGCAACACCCGAAGUCGGUGAGGUAACCUUAUG